CCCUUAGAUGUUCUGGGCCGCACGCGCGCUACACUGACGAAGUCAGCGAGCAUGUCCUACGCCGACAGGUGCGGGGAAUCUUGUCAAACUUCGUCGUGAUGGGGAUUGAUUAUUGAAAUUCUUGAUCAUCAACGAGGAAUUCCUAGUAAGCGCAAGUCAGCAGCUUGCGUUGAUUACGUCCCUGCCCUUUGUACACACCGCCCGUCGCUACUACCGAUUGAGCAUCCCGGUGAAGACUCAGGAGAUAUGUACGUGGCUGGUCUCCAGCUGCGUUGCGUGCCGAAUUUGUCUAAACCUUGAUGCUUAGAGGAAGGAGAAGUCGUAACA
rnacentral:rRNA from 1 species